UGGUCACACAAAUUACCCACCUCCAUUGUCCUUUUCUCUCCAUCUUUCGUCGUACAAGCAAGCACCCACGUCUUCCGUGUCAUAUCUGCUUGACCAUUUGGCACUCCUGCCGUUAAUCACUAGGAUUAGCAUUUACUUCACGCGCCUCUCGUCAUUUAUAAAACCUCCCUAAUCACCAUGACUAGCGUUCCGCCCUAAGUUUUGGUGCUUUCAUUGAUCAAGCAAUCCAAAGAACAGAGAAGCAUGAGUGAUCCUAGAGGGAGCGUGCCCUUUGCAUGGGAGAACAAGCCCGGAGUCUCCAAGGCGAUUUCGAGAAGCAACAGCGGAGAAUCGUUGUCGCCGCCACCAGUCAAAGAUAGGAGGCAGUUCCCAACCAAGUUGCCGCCGCCCCCGUGUCCGAUGACGGACGGUUUGAGGGUUUCCAUGGCACAAGAGAUGCAGAUUCCGCUCCCACCGUGCACCUUUCAGCCUCCGCGGAGGAGUAGCUCAAAGAAGGGCGCAAAGAAGCAGGACGACGACCCGUUCCUCGCGGCUUAUAAGGAGUGCACCAAGGGUACCAAGGCAGAACAUCGUCACAAGUUGUCCAAGCACGAUGAUGGAGGUCUAGGGUUUGGGCUGAGGAAGUACAUGCUUGCUAAUUUCUCUUGUAAGCGGUCGUGCAGCGUGAGGGAUGACAAUAUGGUCAGAGUUUCUCAUUUGAAGAGAGAGAGAGAGAGAGAGAGAGAGAGAGAGAGAGACGAUAGGUUUCAAGAUUUGAAAGGUUUCUUGAAUGGGCAGUGCUUCUCACUCUAAAUUUAGAGAGAUUGGAUACAUAGCAUGCUUUAAGACACCUAACGAGAGUACAUAGCUUUACUUUUAUCUCAUCUUUCGAUCUAACUUUGCUGGCUCCAAUUAGGGCACAUCUGAGAUCUUUGAAUAAACAUAUCUCUGGCCUUCUAUGUUGUAAGUAGAAAUUUCCUUGGUCCGGACACAGCUGAAACUGUCGUGCUCGUAUUUUACAAGAAGUUCCUCAAUCAUGAUGAAAUAAUGUGUUCUUGUUUCUUA